rnacentral:lncRNA from 1 species
AUAUAUAUAUAUAUAUAUAUAUAUAUAUAUAUAUAUAUAUAUAUAUAUAUAUGAUGGAGAGCCUAAUGCCUAAUGAUAAAAUUAAACCAUACGCAUGUGGGUUUUCUUAUUUGUCUUGGGAUAAUCCACAAUCACCGUGCCACCAUGGAGCUUGGCUGCCUCAUAACAAUUGACAAAUACAGCAUCCUUCUUGACUGUAGCAGGAACCGGAACAAUCACCUGAUAAACAUGGGGUUUUGAUGGUUGGUACUGACGCCUAUCCACAUAAAAUUGUUGUUGCUGAUGCUGCUUUUUGCCCCAUUGUGCAGCGUAUUCAAACAUGGCUAUGUCUUCAGACCCAAUCUUCAUAUGGUCUGACUCGCUUGGUGCCAUUUCUAAGUAGGUUAAAGCUAAUUAAGUCUACUUGUUUGCUUGUUUUGUUUGUUUGGUGCAUGUUGUUCUUUAAC